GACGAACGCUGGCGGCGUGCUUAACACAUGCAAGUCGAACGGAAAGGCCCUGCUUUUGUGGGGUGCUCGAGUGGCGAACGGGUGAGUAACACGUGAGUAACCUGCCCUUGACUUUGGGAUAACUUCAGGAAACUGGGGCUAAUACCGGAUAGGAGCUCCUGCUGCAUGGUGGGGGUUGGAAAGUUUCGGCGGUUGGGGAUGGACUCGCGGCUUAUCAGCUUGUUGGUGGGGUAGUGGCUUACCAAGGCUUUGACGGGUAGCCGGCCUGAGAGGGUGACCAGCCACAUUGGGACUGAGAUACGGCCCAGACUCCUACGUGAGGCAGCAGUGGGGAAUAUUGCACAAUGGGCGGAAGCCUGAUGCAGCAACGCCGCGUGCGGGAUGACGGCCUUCGGGUUGUAAACCGCUUUCGCCUGUGACGAAGCGUGAGUGACGGUAAUGGGUAAAGAAGCACCGGCUAACUACGUG
rnacentral:rRNA from 1 species